GACAGAGGGUGCAAACGUUGCUCGGAAUCACUGGGCGUAAAGGGCGUGUAGGCGGGAAGGUAAGUCGGGCGUGAAAUCCCUGGGCUCAACCCCAGGAACUGCACUCGAAACUACUUUUCUUGAGUGCCGGAGAGGAAAGCGGAAUACCUGGUGUAGAGGUGAAAUUCGUAGAUAUCAGGUGGAACACCAGUGGCGAAGGCGGCUUUCUGGACGGUAACUGACGCUGGAGACGCGAAAAGCGUGGGGGAGCAAAACAGG
rnacentral:rRNA from 1 species